CGACGGGUGAGUAACGCGUGGGUAACCUGCCUUGCACUGGGGGAUAACACUUAGAAAUAGGUGCUAAUACCGCAUAAGCGCACGGUCCUGCAUGGGACAGUGUGAAAAACUCCGGUGGUGCAAGAUGGACCCGCGUCUGAUUAGCUGGUUGGCGGGGUAAAGGCCCACCAAGGCGACGAUCAGUAGCCGGCCUGAGAGGGUGGACGGCCACAUUGGGACUGAGACACGGCCCAAACUCCUACGGAAGGCAGCAG
rnacentral:rRNA from 1 species